AAAAUGCCUCCUGAGACUGGGGGGGGGGCUGGCUGUCAGGGAGGCCGCCCCGUCCUGGGGGGCACCUCAGGGCAGGUACUGACUUCCAUAGCCAGGACCUAGGCCGGGAAUCGGGAAGGGAUGGCCCCGGAAGUGAUAAGGCAGGAUUUCCAGGCAGGGGAAGUGGCAUUUAGGAGAACUGGCUAUUUAAGGGGGCGGUCAGUGCUGACACAGACAAAGCAUUCACUGGCUGGGAAUGGCCGCCACCCAGUGGCUCUGAGAACUAGACUUGGAAGUCUGGCACUGGGAGCUGUGCCAACUUGGACCAAACUUUGGGCGCAAAGCACGACGUGGCAGACGAGGAACCACACUAGAACGGGCCACGCCUACCCAAGAUUUACGAGGCCGUCCUUUCCCUCAUGCAAUCGCAAUGGGAAAAGGAGGAAACUAAGGCUCGGCCUCCCCUACUGAGCCUGGUUGGCGGAGGGGAGUCUUAAAGCCGCCGCCAUCUGGAGAACCAGCUUUACAAGGACCCUCACUCACUACUCUUCGGCGGCCCCAAAGCCUCUGGGGGGCCCUCUAUGGCCACCACUUGCUCCUCGCCCAGGAGUCAUCUCAUGCCGCCGCCUCCCCCAGCCCUGGUGGAAGAAGCCAGCGCGGACCCCUGCCUCUCUGCCCCAGAAAGUCUUCGGAGGGAUGACCCUCUGCUGACAAGCUGGGGGAAGUUGGCGUACAGAGACCCCCGCUUUGCUGCUCAUCCCAGGGAAAUCCCGGCCCCACUCCUGACCUCAGACUCACUUCCACCCUCAAGUGGAUCGAGGUGGGGGUAGCCAGGGGCGCUGUCUCCAGUGACAAGGUCUCUGGGACCCCUCAUGGGCUCAAGACCCCCUCCCCCAGGCAGCAGCUGUGUGAUUCAUCACCACCCCCUCUGCACCUCGGGCCCCCCCACUACAGCCGCCCCACUCCCCGUCAGCGGCAGCCGGCUGCUGCGUCAGCCACUCACGCAGGGUGGUUAUUAAAGGAGAGAGACAUCAGCACCGAGCUCCCCUGCGCCCGCCGUCCAUGCGGGAGGGGCCACCCACCCACUGGAGCCCCAGACGCGGGCGCCACAUGCCCAGCCUGGGAGCAAUUCAGGCCCAUUCUUUCUGAUCUGCGCCCCCAGCCCCCAGCCCCAGCAGUCAGCGCGGUGGACGUUCUCUGACCCAGAGCAGCCCUUGUAGGGGGGGAGUUGGAGGGGGUGCCUGGUAGUCACAGCGGCCCCUGCAUAAUUGCGUAAUUCUUGCCGCUCCCCCCAGCCCAUCGUUCCCUGGUUCUGUGAGCCUCUGCCUUUUCCUGGUUUUGCGAAGCGCCGUGUUCAUUCAUUCAUUCAUUCAUUCAAAAAAAAAAAAAAAAAA
rnacentral:lncRNA from 1 species